UGAGGAAUAUUGGUCAAUGGGGGCAACCCUGAACCAGCCAAGUCGCGUGAAGGAUGAAGGUCUUAUGGAUUGUAAACUUCUUUUACACGGGAAUAAAGUGGGGGACGUGUCCCCCUUUGCAUGUACCAUGUGAAUAAGGAUCGGCUAACUCCGUGCCAGCAGCCGCGGUAAUACGGAGGAUCCGAGCGUUAUCCGGAUUUAUUGGGUUUAAAGGGUGCGCAGGCGGGAUGUUAAGUCGGCGGUGAAAUUUUGCAGCUCAACUGUAAAAGUGCCUUCGAUACUGGCCUCCUUGAGUGUGGAUGAAGUAGGCGGAAUUUGUGGUGUAGCGGUGAAAUGCUUAGAUAUCACGAGGAACUCCGAUUGCGCAGGCAGCUUACUAAGCCACAACUGACGCUCAUGCACGAAGGCGUGGGGAUCAAACA
rnacentral:rRNA from 1 species